CCUACGGGUGGCAGCAGUGAGGCAUAUUGGUCAAUGGGCGCGAGCCUGCACCAGCCAAGUCGCGUGAAGGAUGACUGCCCUACGGGUUGUAAACUUCUUUUAUAAAGGAAUCAAGUGAGGCACGUGUGCCUUUUUGUAUGUACUUUCUGAAUAAGGAUCGGCUAACUCCGUGCCAGCAGCCGCGGUAAUACGGAGGAUCCGAGCGUUAUCCGGAUUUAUUGGGUUUAAAGGGAGCGUAGAGGGGUUGUUAAGUCAGUUGUGAAAGUUUGCGGCUCAACCGUAAAAUUGCAAUUGAUACUGGCAGUCGUGAGUACAGAUGUGGUAGGCGGAAUGCGUGGUGUAGCGGUGAAAUGCUGAGAUAUCACGAAGAACUCCGAUUGCGAAGGCAGCUUACGAAACUGCCACUGACAUUGAUGCUCGAAAGUGUGGGUAUCAAACAGGAUUAGAUACCCCUGUAGUC
rnacentral:rRNA from 1 species